GACGAACGCUGGCGGCGUGCCUAAUACAUGCAAGUAGAACGCUGAAGGAGGAGCUUGCUUCUCUGGAUGGGUUGCGAACGGGUGAGUAACGCGUAGGUAACCUGCCUGGUAGCGGGGGAUAACUAUUGGAAACGAUAGCUAAUACCGCAUAAUAGCAGUUGUUGCAUGAUAACUGUUUGAAAGGUGCAAUUGCACCACUACCAGAUGGACCUGCGUUGUAUUAGCUAGUUGGUGGGGUAACGGCUCACCAAGGCGACGAUACAUAGCCGACCUGAGAGGGUGAUCGGCCACACUGGGACUGAGACACGGCCCAGACUCCUACGGGUGGCAGCAGUAGGGAAUCUUCGGCAAUGGACGGAAGUCUGACCGAGCAACGCCGCGUGAGUGAAGAAGGUUUUCGGAUCGUAAAGCUCUGUUGUAAGAGAAGAACGAGUGUGAGAGUGGAAAGUUCACACUGUGACGGUACCUUACCAGAAAGGGACGGCUAACUACGUG
rnacentral:rRNA from 1 species